CUAAGUAACCGCAGGAAAAGAAAUCAACCGAGAUUCCCAAAGUAGUGGCGAGCGAAAUGGGAUGAGCCUUGCACUCUUUAUUUGUAUUGUUAGCCGAACGCUCUGGAAAGUGCGGCCAUAGCAGGUGAUAGCCCUGUAGGCGAAAACAGUAUGAAAGAACUAGGUGUGCGACAAGUAGGGCGGGACACGUGAAAUCCUGUCUGAAGAUGGGGGGACCAUCCUCCAAGGCUAAAUACUCGUGAUCGACCGAUAGUGAACCAGUACCGUGAGGGAAAGGCGAAAAGAACCCCGGGAGGGGAGUGAAAUAGAUCCUGAAACCGCAUGCAUACAAACAGUCGGAGCCUCGUAAGGGGUGACGGCGUACCUUUUGUAUAAUGGGUCAGCGACUUACGUUCAGUAGCAAGCUUAACCGUAUAGGGCAGGCGUAGCGAAAGCGAGUCCGAAUAGGGCGUUCAGUUGCUGGGCGUAGACCCGAAACCAGGUGAUCUAUCCAUGGCCAGGAUGAAGGUGCGGUAACACGUACUGGAGGUCCGAACCCACUAACGUUGAAAAGUUAGGGGAUGAGCUGUGGAUAGGGGUGAAAGGCUAAACAAACCUGGAAAUAGCUGGUUCUCUCCGAAAACUAUUUAGGUAGUGCCUCGUGUCUCACCUUCGGGGGUAGAGCACUGUCAUGGUUGGGGGGUCUAUUGCAGAUUACCCCGCCAUAGCAAACUCCGAAUACCGAAGAGUGCAAUCACGGGAGACAGACAUCGGGUGCUAA
rnacentral:rRNA from 1 species